GACGAACGCUGGCGGCGUGCUUAACACAUGCAAGUCGAACGGAAAGGCCCUGCUUUUGUGGGGUGCUCGAGUGGCGAACGGGUGAGUAACACGUGAGUAACCUGCCCUUGACUUUGGGAUAACUUCAGGAAACUGGGGCUAAUACCGGAUAGGAGCUCCUGCUGCAUGGUGGGGGUUGGAAAGUUUCGGCGGUUGGGGAUGGACUCGCGGCUUAUCAGCUUGUUGGUGGGGUAGUGGCUUACCAAGGCUUUGACGGGUAGCCGGCCUGAGAGGGUGACCGGCAAAAUGGGACUGAGGUAAGGGCCCAGACUCCUACGGGGGGAGGCGGGGGGAAUAAUGGAACAUUGGGCGAAGGCCGAUGGCGCAAAGGCGGGGGGCGGGAUACGGGCCUCCGGGUGGUAAACGGUUUUGGCCUGGAACGAGGGGGGGGUAACGUAAUGGGGUAAGAAGGCACGGCUUACUUACGU
rnacentral:rRNA from 1 species